rnacentral:ncRNA from 18 species
UCUCCGCAGAAACCACAAAAUGUGGUUUCUGGGUUCAAAGACAGGGGAAGUGCGGUGCAAUUCCGCCGCUGUCGCGCAACGGUUAUAGCCCGAAUGCCUGCUUUGAGUCCUCAUCGCUCG